AACCAUUCUCACCUGCGGCUAGACCUGCGGAGGGAUCAUUAAAAAAAAUCCUUUUUGCCCGCGGACUUUGCUCCAAGGCGCAAAAAACCCACACUGUGUGCACCGUUAUCGUUUCUUUGGCAGGGGCUUGGGGUGGUUUUUUCCACCUCAACUUCUCCUCCGGCUCUAUCCCUUGGGACAGUUGGACAUGGGAAGCAGUUACCCUGCCAGGUAACCCUUUUAAAUCACGCUUUUUUGUUG
rnacentral:misc_RNA from 1 species